CACAGUCCGCUCCUCUUAAAUGCAUUAGCUGGAUUCUCGGUGAGCUCGGUUCCACUCGGCGUGAUAAGUAUCACUCGCGAGGACACCCGUUAAAAAAAGGUGGCCAGGCCCGCGGAUGAACCGCUUCCAACGGUCUAUUGAUUUAGACAAUAAAUUUACGAUCCGAUCUCAAAUCAGGUAGGACUACCCGCUGAACUUAA
rnacentral:misc_RNA from 1 species